rnacentral:piRNA from 1 species
UCAGCAUUUGCCCAGAUUUGUCUUGAGU